rnacentral:rRNA from 1 species
AGUACGUGAAACUGCUUAGAGGUUAAACCCGAUGAACCUGAAUAUCCAUUAUGGAAAAUUCAAUACUAAGAAAAUAAUAUAUAUCAUAUUGUAAUAAUAGUGUGCAAUUUUUCCAUAUAAGGACAUUGUAAUCUGUUAAUGUCAUAAAUAUUUAUCAAAAGAUUCUUUACUCAAGUUUAUUCAAAUUGUUUAUUUUCGGAUAUUCAACAUAAAAUAAAUGUAUUGAAUCAAAUAAAUCAUUGACAGAUAUAAUUGUAUAAUGUGCUCAAAUUCUACGGAAUUUUGCAAUGGUAAGUGAAUCUAUGUAUUUAUUUAUUUAAUUGUUUGCACUAUUAUGAUUAACAAUGCGAUAGAUUCAGGAUACCUUCGGGACCCGUCUUGAAACACGGACCAAGGAGUCUAACAUAUGUGCGAGUCAUUGGGUAUUUUUAAUAAAACCCAAUGGCAUAAUUAACUUAACUUUUAUAAUAUAAUGGGAUUAAUUUAUAAUUUAUUAUGAAUUAUUUAUUCAAUCCCGGGGCGUUCUAUACAGUUAUGUAUAAUGAUAUUUAUAUUAUUUAUACCUCUAACUAGAGCGUACCUUGAGC